rnacentral:rRNA from 1 species
UACGAAGGGUGCGAGCGUUAAUCGGAUUUACUGGGCGUAAAGCGUACGUAGGCGGUUAAGUCAGUCAGAUGUGAAAGCCCCGGGCUUAACCUGGGAAUUGCAUCUGAUACUGCUUAGCUAGAGAUCGGUAGAGGAAAAUGGAAUUCCGGGUGUAGCGGUGAAAUGCGUAGAUAUCCGGAGGAACAUCAAUGGCGAAGGCAGUUUUCUGGGCCUGAUCUGACGCUGAGGUACGAAAGCGUGGGGAGCAAAC